AUAUAGUCCCUUGCAAAAGUAGUCACCCCCCUUGGCAUUUUUUCGUAUUGAAAAUUCCAGGUUGUGAGGCAACAAAACACGAAAAAAUGCCAAGGGGGGUGAAUACCUUUGCAAGGGACUAUAU
rnacentral:miRNA from 1 species